rnacentral:rRNA from 1 species
CCUACGGGAGGCAGCAGUGGGGAAUAUUGCACAAUGGGGGGAACCCUGAUGCAGCGACGCCGCGUGGGUGAAGGAGUAUUUCUGUAUUUAAAGCCCUAUCAGCAGGGAAGUACAAUUACGCUACCUGACUUAGUAGCACCUGCUAAAUACGUGCCAGCAGCCGCGGUAAUACGGAGGGUGCGAGCGUUAUCCGGAUUUACGGGGUGUAAAGGGAGCGCAUGCGGUGUGUUAAGCCGGCGGUGAAAGUUUGUGGCGCAACCACGGGAUUGCCUUGGAAACUGGAAGACUGGAGUGUCGGUGGGGUAGGCGGAAUGCGUGGUGGAGCGGUGAAAUGCAUAGAUAUUACGCAGAACACCGAUGGCGAAGGCAGCCUACUAGACGAUAACUGACACUGAAGCACGAAAGCGUGGGGAGCAAACAGGAUUAGAUACCCUUGUAGUC